rnacentral:sRNA from 1 species
ACUGGGCUUUGUGGUGCAUGCCUGUCAUCCCAGUUACUUGGGAGGCUGAGGUGGGAGGAUUGCAAGUUUGAGGCCAGCCUCAGCAAUUUAGCAAGGCCCUAAGCAUCUUAGUGAGACCCUGUCUCAA